AGCUUAAUAAUUUAUAUAAAAUAUUUACCUUGAAAGUAAAAAAAAGAAAUUCCUUUAAGCUU
rnacentral:tRNA from 1 species